rnacentral:rRNA from 1 species
CAGCAGCCACGGGAAUACGUAGGGUGCGAGCGUUAAUCGGAAUUACUGGGCGUAAAGCGUGCGCAGGCGGUUCGUUAAGACAGAUGUGAAAUCCCCGGGCUUAACCUGGGAACUGCAUUUGUGACUGGCGAGCUAGAGUAUGGCAGAGGGGGGUAGAAUUCCACGUGUAGCAGUGAAAUGCGUAGAUAUGUGGAGGAAUACCGAUGGCGAAGGCGGCCCCCUGGGCCAAUACUGACGCUCAUGCACGAAAGCGUGGGGAGCAAACAGGAUUAGAUACCCCCGUAGUCCCUGUCUCUUAUAC